GACGAACGCUGGCGGCGUGCUUAACACAUGCAAGUCGAACGGAAAGGCCCUGCUUUUGUGGGGUGCUCGAGUGGCGAACGGGUGAGUGACACGUGAGUAACCUGCCCUUGACUUUGGGAUAACUUCAGGAAACUGGGGCUAAUACCGGAUAGGAGCUCCUGCUGCAUGGUGGGGGUUGGAAAGUUUCGGCGGGUGGGGAUGGACGCGCGGCUUAUCAGCUUGUUGGUGGGGUAGUGGCUGACCAAGGCUUUGACGGGUAGCCGGCCUGAGAGGGUGACCGGCCACAUUGGGACUGAGAUACGGACCAGACUCCUACGGGAGGCAGCAGUGGGGAAUAUUGCACAAUGGGCGGAAGCCUGAUGCAGCAACGCCGCGUGCGGGAUGACGGCCUUCGGGUUGUAAACCGCUUUAGCCUGUGACGAAGCGUGAGUGACGGUAAUGGGUAAAGAAGCACCGGCUAACUACGUG
rnacentral:rRNA from 1 species